CGGAUUGAAGGCUGAAAUUCGCCUUCAUGAAGCCGGAAUUGCUAGUAAUGGCAGGUCAGCAUACUGCCGUGAAUACGUUCCCGGGCCUUGUACACACCGCCCGUCACACCAUGAGAGUUGGGAAUACCCGAAGCCUGUGAGCUAACUUUUAGAGGCAGCAGUCGAAGGUAGAAUCAAUGAUUGGGGUGAAGUCGUAACAAGGUAUC
rnacentral:rRNA from 1 species